CAGAGACCUCAAGCGUUAUCCGGAAUCAUUGGGCGUAAAGCGUACCGACAGGUGGCUGUAUAAGUCAGAAGUGAAAUCUCCGAGCUCAACUCGGAAUCUGUCUUUUGAAACUAUACAACUAGAGGGGCAAAGAGGAAGCUGGAACGAACGGUGUAGUAGUGAAAUGCGUUGGUAUCGUUCGGAACACCAAUAGCGUAGGCAGGCUUCUGGGUGCCACCUGACACUGCUAGGACGAAAGCGUGGGGAGCGAAUGGGAUUAGAUACCCCAGUAGUCCACGCUGUAAACGAUGCACGUUAGGUGCUAGGGAGUAUCGACCCUCUUUAGUACCAUAGCUAACGCGUUAAACGUGCCGCCUGGGGAGUACGGCCGCAAGGCUA
rnacentral:rRNA from 1 species